ensembl:lncRNA
GUACAAUUUGAAUCUUUCGUACAUAAUUAUUUUAGUUUUAACAAAGAAAUCAACAAUAUUUGUGUUUCAAUCAAUCACAGCAUUCAAUGGCAAAGGGUUUCACAGAAACUCAGACUAAUUCUUUUAAUUUACUUCAGUAGGAAAAAUAAAAAGCUGAAAAUACUUCUCAACUGGCCUUGUUUUGAUGUCCUGCUUUUCCGUUUGCGUUAAAUAUGUUGUGUCUCUCCAAUGAUUUCUAAAUGUAACUCCUUGUCACACUGCAGCUAAUAAACAGAACAUAUGUUCAUUCUUAUGUUCCGGAGAUAAUUAUUAAAUGAACAAUUAAUCUUUUGUUUUUGAGGUUAGGAGAGGUAACUACUCUAAGAGUUCAGGUUCUUUUUAAAAUGAAAUUAUCUGUUUUCUAGUAUGAAGAUCCUAAUGCUUGUUCAUGCCUGGUUAUCUGUAGAGUAAGGAUGAAAACUCUCAUUGGAAGCAUAAUGCUGGAAUACUUGGAUAGGCAGCGUAAUUUUAAACCACUAAAUUUGUGGUAAUCUGUUAUAGCAGCAAUAGGAAACCAAUACAGACACCGUUCAAAAGAUGAUUGUAAAGCUGUCACACUGUGGGCUUUGAAAGCAAAUUUGCUGCCUUUUCUUCCUCUGUUAUGAUAUCAUACGCUUGUUUCCACUAGCAGUAAUGCACACUGGGGUUGCCAUUGUUAAUCUUGAAAUUGUACUUUGCCAGUUAAAGACAUGAGACCUUUGGCCUCUUCUUCAUUCCUAGGGUGUCCAGUGGGUGGCCUGUGAUGUCUCCCUGCUAACGCUAGACGAUAUUUCAUCCUAUCUAACAAGCACUCUGCUCAGAUGGUCGUCUGUGCAAGUGCCACAAGGAAAGCUCCCAUGGGACCCAGAAAAGUAUUCAUUUUCCAAAGAGAAUUAAAACCCACAUUGAUAGCAUAUAAAACAAGAAUGCUUUAAAAUGUGAAGAGUGAUGAGGUUAUUUCACCCUUAAGUUAUAUUUCUAGGAAAAAGCAGAAUUUAAAUCUUAAGAGAUCUGUGUGCCCAAUUGACACUUCAAAGAAAGAGAAACCCAGCUAAUGAAAUGUAACCUAACAUCCUUCCCCAGCUUCUGUAUUCCCCAGAUUGCUACCCUUUUCCAAUUAACUUUUCCAUUCUUCUGCUAAUUAUCUGAUCUAGAAGCUUUGGAGUGAUAUUUUUCCUCCCUCUGAUUCAGCCCUUAGAAGACAUUCUCCUCUCAUCUUCGUUUUCUUUGGGGACCCUGUUUCUCAGCAUUAAUACGCAUGCGCCUAACACAGCUCUGUAUGCAGCAGCUGGCUCACAGGUUGGAGCAUGGAUUCGUUCUAUCCAGUCUGCAUCUCUUUCUGCCUGCACUUCCACACCACUCACUCCACACUCUACACAGCUCCCUGUUGCUUCCACCUGAAGUGUAAAUCCUUCUACUUAGUUUUCAAGGCCUAACUAUCCAGCUUUGCUCCCCAUGCCUCUCCACAUUCCUUCCUUCUUUCAGACGGCCAGGCAAUUUCCAUGGAUUCAUAAAAUUCAGUUUCCUCUUUUCUUGGUAACUCAGAAGAAAGGAACAGAACUGAAUCAGACGUUGACCCCUUUGACAAAUAUAUAGCUUUGUGGGGAUGGGGUAUGGGGAGACAAAUACAAAAGCUAGUUGGGGUUUUAGGUACUAUUGCAAAUGAGUUCUGUGAGCACGCCAAGAGGGGCUAAAAGAUCUUCAGGUGAGGGCACGGUAGGAAAGGCUUUGAUGAGUAGGAGAUAAUAGGAAAAUGAGUUGUCAUUUUGAGUACAGACUUUUCUUUCUUUUUUUUUUUUUUUCAUUUUGCAACGUGGCAUGUGGGAUCUUAGUUCCAAACCAGGGAUUGAACCUGUGCCCCCCUGUAAUGGAAGUGUAGAGUCUUCACCACUGAACCACUGGGGAAGUCUGAGAGCUAUUAUCUAGAACAUUAUGUGAUGUAGAUUCUAUUAAUUUUCAUGCAAAUAACGUGAUAAUGUUACCUACCCUUUCAAGUCAGACCCUAAUAAAGAUCUUCCUGCCCUGUGUCACUUGCACCAAUAGAAUGAGACAGAGUUCAGUUCAGAAGCAAAAGAAUGUUUUGUUUUUUGGUCAGAGAAUGAAGAGGUAUGGACUCACACUCAAGAGCACACACACUCUCCCCUCCAGGACAGGUUGUGGUUGGUGCUGCUUCUUAGAGUUCCCCUUCUGGGGAAGGAGGGUAGAGUUCUCGCAAAACGGACAGGCUGAAAGCAGUAUCUCCAAACCCCUGCCAUCUUGAAUCACAACAUCUUGUGAGAAGCUUCUGCACACGGUCCCCAAGCUGAGGUGUCGAGUGGUGCUGUUUGAUGCCAGGAACUAUGGUCUGAAGGGUUUUGUGCGAGGCCUCUGCGCGCAGUAUCCUGUGAGCAAGUGAAACUUGGUGUUAUACCUUAUCACCUGGAUUCCGUCUUAUUUUUCCUGGAGGCCUCAGGGGGCUUCGCCUGUGACACGAGAUCCAGUCCAGGCCAAAGGGACUUCAUUGCAAUGCCAUGCCAAGAGUGGGCAGCAAGAAAUGGAGCCACAGCUGAAGGAGCUGACCAGGCCUUCUCCAGACUGUCCAAACAGCCUCGUGAGAUGUGAGGCUAGAACGCGGCUCCUAAGACGCCCGAAUACCGUCCGAAGUUAGAGAGCGGUGGUCGACGCGGCGAGAUUGAGGCUGCGGCAGCGGCAGGAGCUCCAGCAAACACGUCCAGCCGCUUCCCCCUGCACUGUCUGACUCUUCCACCCGCCGCCGGCCCCAAUAUACCAAGAGACUCUUUAGUUCCUCUUCAGUUUCUGCCAUGAAGGUGGUGUCAUCUGCAUAUCUGAAGUUAUUGAUAUUUCUCCCAGCAAACUUGAUUCUGGCUUGCACUUCAUCCAGCCUGGUAUUUUUCAUGAUAUAGGAGUUAAAUAAGAUAUAUUGAUAUAGAAGUUAAAUAAACGUCUCUGCACAGAAGUUAAAUAAGCAGGGGUGACUGUAUACAGCUUUGACAUACUCCUUUUCCAAUUUGGAACCCGUCUGUUGUUCCAUGUCUAGUUCUAACUGUUGCUUCUUGACCUGUAUACAGGUUUCUCAGGAGGCAGAUAAGG